rnacentral:sRNA from 1 species
GCUGGGCACAGCGGCACGUACCUGUAAUCCCAGCAGCUUGGGAGGCUGAGGCAGGAGGAUCUCAAGUUCAAAGCCAGCCGCAGCAAAAAAGCGAGGCGCUGAGACCCUGUCUCUA